UUUCCUUUUUUAAAGGCUGAAUAAUAUUAUAUUGUAUGUAUAUAUCACAUUUCUUUAUUCAUUGACAGAUGAAUAAAGCCAAACAACUUAAAUGUUGUUUCUACACCUUGGCUAUUGUGAAUAGUCUGAUAUGAAUAUAGGAGUGUUAAUAUGUCUUCAAGAUCCUGACUUCAGUUCUUUUGUAUGCAUACCCAGAAGUGGGAUUAUUAGAGCAUAUGGUAGUUAUAUAAUUUUCUGAGGAACCUCCAUUCUGUUUUCCACAGAGGCUUUGCAUUCCCACCAACAGCACCCAAGGGUUCCAAUUUCUCCACAUCCUUCACAGAACUUUUGGUUUUUGAUAACAACCAUCCUGACAAGUGUGAAGUGAUAUCUUAUUGUAUUUUUUUCCUUUCCUAAAUUUUUUUUAUUUUAAAUUUAAUGUUAGAGACAAGUUCUCACUAUGUUGCCCAGGCUGGUGUCAAACUCCUGAGCUCAAGUGAUCCUCCCACCUCGGCCCCACAAAGUGCUGGGAUUACAGGCAUGAGCCACCGCACCCGGCCCUUACUGUGGUUUUGAUUCACUGAUGGCUAGACAUUGAACAUUUUUUCAUAUACCUGUUGGCUAUUUGUAUGUCUUCUUUGGAGAAAAGUCUAUUCAAGUCUUUAGCCCAUUUUUAAAUUGGGCUGUUAGUUAUUUUACUAUUUAGUUGUAGGAGUUCCUUAUAUAUUUUCGAGAUUAACCUCUUAUUAGAGAUACGUUUGCAAAUAUCUUCUCCCAUUCCCUAGGUUACCUUUUUCACUGUUGAUUUUUUCCUUGCUUGUGCAGGAACAUUUUAGUUUGAGAUAAUCCCACUUGUUUUUUGUUUUUAUUGCCUGUAUUUUGGUGUCAUAUGCAUGAAAUUGCCACAACCAAUGUCAUGAAGGUUUUCCCCUAUGUUUUCUUGUAGGAACUGUAUGCUUUUCAGUCUUACUUUUAAAUCUUUAAUCCAUUUUUAGUUGAUUUUUGUGUAUGGUGUAAGAAAAGAGUCCGAUUUCAAUCUUUUGCACAUGGAUAUCCAGCUUUUCCAACACCAUGUAUUGAAGAGACUACCUUUUCCCUUUUGUGGAUUCUUGGCAACCUUGUUGAAGGGCCUUCCUUUGCUUCACCUCAUGGCUCACAUACAAGUGACCUGAGUCACUCCAUCUUCCUGAUCAAACUGUCCGUCGUCUAAUUCCCGGAGGACGUUGUCACUGCUGCUGAACCCAGAGAAGCUGUUGUGCUGUGCCAGCCUUCCCUCCUUUGUCCAGCAUUCCCGGGAGGGAGAAAGGCGGCACUCCUCAGGCAGGUGUCUGCUCUCUGCAGGUUGUGACGAGGUUGUGUCUAAUCCGAUGCUUCUACUAGUGGCUUUAUUCUUGUCUUCACCUUUUAUGUGGCGGCUGGCUUUCUUCUGAAACACAAGACAUUGGUGACCAGGAGAGUUAAAAAGAUGGGUGUUUCCUGUCCCUCUGGUCUAGCACAUGCUGCCUUUCUGCCUCCAGGAAUGUCCUUUUCCCCAGCUCUUCAAAAUCCUGCUCAUCUUCAACGACCAGCUCAGAGCUACCUCCACAUUCCCCUCUCCACCCAAAUACAAAUGAACUCCCUUCUCCCUGUUUUGUAACUCUUUGUAGGUUCCUGGCACAUCAUUCUUGUUGAUGGGUAUGUUAUGUACACAUCUCGGCCCUCAGUGACAUCUCUAAGGAAGGAAAUUUGUUGAAAUCAUACUUUGGGAGAACAAAGCAAGGUAUAAAUACUAAUAUGUUUUUCUUCUUAGUGUUAGUUCAGAUCUAUACAGCAGAAAAGGUGCUUUGAUGGCCACCUUACACCCAUGUCAUGUAGACACAGGCUGCACAGAAGAGUCACAGUGAUAUGGUUUGGCUGUGUCCCCACCCAAAUCUCAUCUUGAAUUGUAACUCCCAUAUUUCCCAUGUGUUGUGGGAGGGGCCCAGUGGGAGGUAGUCAAAUCAUGGGGGUGGGUCUUAUCCCAUGAAUAAGUAUCAUGAGAUCUGAUGGUUUUAUAAAGGGGAGUUCCCUUGCACAUGCUCUCUCUUGCCUGCCACCAUGUGAGACAUGACUUUGCUCCUCAUUUGCCUUCUGCCAUGACUGUGAGGCCUCCCUACGUGGAACUGUGAGUCAAUUAAACCUCUUUCCUUUGUAAACUA